CUCUCUUACAAACAUGUGUUUUUGGUUUCUUGUCCUUGAACACGUGAUCAAAGGCAAAGAAAUGAUUUGGAGAAAUCUGUGGCUAGUGUGCUCCUUGCACUCUCAAGAUCAACCAUCUCACAUAG
ensembl:snoRNA